AAGGUGGGAUGACGUCAAAUCAUCAUGCCCCUUAUGUUCUGGGCUACACACGUGCUACAAUGGCCGGUACAGACGGACGCAAAGCCGCGAGGUGGAGCAAAUCCUAAAAAGCCGGUCUCAGUUCGGAUUGCAGGCUGCAAUUCGCCUGCAUGAAGUCGGAAUCGCUAGUAAUCGCAGGUCAGCAUACUGCGGUGAAUACGUUCCCGGGCCUU
rnacentral:rRNA from 1 species